rnacentral:rRNA from 1 species
UUCCGGUUGAUCCUGCCGGACCCCACUGCUAUUUGGGUGAGGAUAAGCCAUGCGAGUCGAAUGGGAUACCUAAAUUUCCCAUGGCAAACUGCUCAAUAACACAUGAUCAACUUACCCUAUAGAGAAAAAUAACCUCGGGAAACUGAGGAUAAUGUUUCAUAGUUGAAAAGGCUUGGAAAAGUUUUUCGACCAAAGGGAUAAGAAAAAUGGUUUUUAUCCGCUAUAGGAUAGGAUCGUGGUCGAUUAUGGUCGUUGGUGAGGUAAUGGCUCACCAAGCCGAUAAUCGAUAGGGGCCGUGAGAGCGGGAGCCCCGAGAUGGGUACUGAGACAGCGACCCAGGUCUUACGAGACGCAGCAGGCACGGAACCUCCGCAAUACACGAAAGUGUGACGGGGUUACCCAAAGUGUUCAAUUUUGAACUGUGGUAGGUGAGUAAUGUUCCCUACUAGAAAGGAGAGGGCAAGGCUGGUGCCAGCCGCCGCGGUAAAACCAGCUCUUCAAGUGGUCGGGAUAAUUAUUGGGCUUAAAGUGUCCGUAGCCGGUUUAGUAAGUUCCUGGUAAAAUCGGGUAGCUUAACUAUCUGCAUGCUAGGAAUACUGCUAUACUAGAGGGCGGGAGAGGUCUGAGGUACUACAGGGGUAGGGGUGAAAUCUUAUAAUCCUUGUAGGACCCCCAGUGGCGAAAGCGUCAGACUGGAACGUGCCUGACGGUGAGGGACGAAAGCCAGGGGAGCGAACCGGAUUAGAUACCCCGGGUAGUCCUGGCCGUAAACGAUGCAUACUAGUGAUGGGCAUGGCCAUGAGCCGUGUCAGUGCCCGUAGGAAACCGUUAAGUGUGCCGCCUGGGAAGUACGGUCGCAAGGCUAAAACUUAAAGGAAUUGGCGGGGGAGCACCACCAAGGGUGAAGCCUGCCGUUCAUUGGACUCCACGC